rnacentral:rRNA from 1 species
AUUGCCUGCCCAGUGACUUCUGUUAAACGGCCGAUGUAUUCUGACCGUGCAAAGGUAGCAUAAUCAUUUGUUCCCCAAUUAGGGACUAGUAUGAAUGGCUAGACGAGGAUUCAACUGUCUCUUAUUCCCAAUCAGUGAAUUGACCUUCCAGUGAAGAGGCUGGAAUAAAACAAUAAGACGAGAAGACCCUAUGGAGCUUUAAUUAACUAGCCUAAUUAUAAUAAUAACCCUAAUGGAACAAAAACAUAAACAUUAGCUUUUUGGUUGGGGUGACCUCGGAGAACAAAAACCCUCCGAAUGAUUAUAGCACAGACAAACAAGUCAAAGCAAUCCACUAUAUCCAAUUGACCCAAAAACACUUUGACCAACGGACCAAGUUACCCUAGGGAUAACAGCGCAAUCCUAUUUAAGAGUCCAUAUCGACAAUUAGGGUUUACGACCUCGAUGUUGGAUCAGGACACCCCAAUGGUGCAGAAGCUAUUAAAGGUUCGUUUG